AGGGUAAAGGUAAAUGCAUAGGCAAUUGUGAAAGCUACUACUACUGUAAUUUUGCUUGUAGCCUGAUUUUCUAUAUUCUAAAGAUUUAAAUUACAAAUGCAUUAGAGGAGUUCCUGUCAUGGCUCAGUAGUUAAUGAAUCCAACUAGGAACCAUGAGGUUGUGGGUUCGAUUCCUGGCCUCACUCAGUGGGUUAAGGAUCUGGCGUUGCUGUGAGCUAUGAUGUAGGUCGCAGCUGCAGCUCAGAUCUGCUGUUGGUGUGGCUGUGGUGUAGGCUAGCGGCUAUAUCUAGAUUCAACUUCUAGCAUGAGAACCUCUAUAUGCUGUCUUUUAGGGUCACAAAGGCAAGAAUGCCCACUUCCUCUGCUGUUAUUUAACAUUCUACUGGAAGUUCUAACCAGAACUAUUGCUCUGCAUCCAAAAUAGAAAGAGCCCAAACUAUCUCUUUUGCAGAUGAAAUCAUCUGCAAAAUACAGAGAGUAUCCCAAAGAAUACACAAGAAAGCUAUUAGAACUAAUAAAUCCAAUCAAGUUGCAGAACACAGAGUUUGUCUGUUUGUUGUUAUGGCCACAUCCACUGCAUAUGGAAGUUUCUGGACCAGGGACUGAACAACAAAUCCUUCAAUGUACUGUGCUCACUAGGGAUCAAACCCAUGCCUCUGCAGCAGCCAGAAACACUGCAGAUGGAUUCUUAACACAUUGCACCACAGCAGGAACUCCAAACUGGCAUAUGCACACUGUGGUAAAUGAAAUGACAGGCCAACGGGGACCUGCCGUAUAGCACAGAGGAAUCUAUCCAAUAUUCUGUGACAGACUACAUGGAAAAAGAAUCUGAAAAAGAUGGGAUGUGUGUACAUAUAUAACUGAAUUACUCUGUUGUACAGCAGAAAUGAUCACAAUAGGAAACUGACUAUCAUUCAGUAACAUUUUAGGGUCACACCCCCUGGGAACCUCCAUAUGUCGCAGGAGCAGCCCAAGAAAUGGCAAAAAGACAAAAAAAUAAAAUAAAAUAAAAUAAAAUUGUAUGAUAAUAUAUUUAGAUGGAACACAGGGUCUAUGAGAAAAUACACUGGGAGAACUUGUUAGUAAUUUCUUUGAAAUAAAGUUUAAAAGUAUAUUAUGUAGGAGGAAUCUAGAAAGAUAGCAGAGGAGGAAGCACCAGGAAUUGGUCUUCCCACCUAGGAAACAUUUACACUAGCAGAACCUGUCUAAUGCAACUAACUAGGAACUCUGGAGUCUAUUGAAGGCUUGCAACAUCCAGGGGAAGACUCCAACAAUACAUUGUGGUUAAUUUGGGUCAAUUUCAGCUCCUAACACAGUAGCAAGUACCAAUCUCCUAUUCCCCUGCUCAGGGCAGACAGCAGUUUACAUGCUUCCUGAGCAGUUUAAAUGCAGCUUGCAGGAGCCAUGGUGGGCAAAAAGGACCCUGUUCUCCAAAUAUUGGAACUCUCUGCUCUGAUCACUGAUUGCUGCUUCUGAUCACAGAGUGCAGACAAAGAGACAGGCAGUGACUGUGGUUGUUGCCCCUCACUUCAUGGUGGAAAGCCCCUCUCUCUCUGGCUAAAGUGACAUCCAUGAGAUUUAGAGGGAUGGUGCCUUUUCCUCCUCUUUGUUUUACUCUUUCCCCCUUCAGGGAGACAGACAUUGAAGACUAGAAUAGAGCACAAUGACAUAUAUGAGAAAAAUAAGAAAGUCACCACACAACCCCAAGAUAAGGUAUGGACUCAGAAAAGACUUGAUGAGACCUUAUAUUUACCCUCAAGGUGGUCCCCAGCACAGAGACAGACUAAAAUGUUCUACACACACACACACGGGAAAACUCUGGGGAAGGGGGAGGAUCUGACUCCCAGAGUUAUCAUAUUAUUUGAUUUAAAUGUCCACUUUUCAACCAAAAAAAAAAAAAUCACCAGGCAUGCAAACCAAACCAGAUAUAUAUGACUCAUGCAAAGGAAAAUAUUAUUAUUUCCCACAGACACUGUCCCUGGAAAAGAUGUAAUGACAGAUCUUCUAGACAAAUACCUGAAAAACAGCUAUCUUAAAGAUGUUCAAAGAACUAAAAGAAGACACAGAGAAAGUCAAAAAAAUAAUGUAUGCAUAAAAUGUACAUGUAAAUAAGAUAGAAAACCUAAAAAAGAAAUCAGGAACUGAAAAGUAUGAUAACUGAAAUUUAAAAUUUACUAGAAGGAGUCAAAGGUGAUUUUGAGCAGGCAGAUAUAAGCACCCAUGAAUUCAAAGAUAAGUGAAUGGAAAUUAUCCGGUCUGAGGAAGAGACAGAAAAAAAAGAGAGAUUAUAGAAAAACAAAGAAAGCCUAUGGGACCUGUGAGAUACCAUAAAGCUGCCCAAUAUAUUCCUCUUGGUGGGAGUCCCAGAAGAAAUAAAGGGACAAAGAAUAUUUGAAGACAGAAUAGCUGAAAACUUGCAAAAUUUGAUGAAAGAUGUCAUUGUAACCAUCCAAGAAACAAGUAAUUGCAUGUAGAAUGAACUCAAAGAGAUCCCCACUGGAACACAGCAUGCUCAACCUGUCAAAAAGCCAAGACAGAAAGAGUAUUUCGAAAGCAUUGAGAGAGAAGGGACUGAGCACAUCCAAGGAGUCCUUUAUAAGAUUAUCAGCAGACUUCUCAUCAGAAACUUCAGAGGCCAGAAGGCAGUGAGCUAGUAUAAUCAAAGCAC
rnacentral:lncRNA from 1 species